GGACGUUACUCGCAGAAUAAGCCCCGGCUAACUCUGUGCCAGCAGCCGCGGUAAUACAGAGGGUGCGAGCGUUAAUCGGAUUUACUGGGCGUAAAGCGUGCGUAGGCGGCUUUUUAAGUCGGAUGUGAAAUCCCUGAGCUUAACUUAGGAAUUGCAUUCGAUACUGGAAAGCUAGAGUAUGGGAGAGGAUGGUAGAAUUCCAGGUGUAGCGGUGAAAUGCGUAGAGAUCUGGAGGAAUACCGAUGGCGAAGGCAGCCAUCUGGCCUAAUACUGACGCUGAGGUACGAAAGCAUGGGGAGCAAACAGGAUUAGAUACCCUGGUAGUCCAUGCCGUAAACGAUGUCUACUAGCCGUUGGGGCCUUUGAGGCUUUAGUGGCGCAGCUAACGCGAUAAGUAGACCGCCUGGGGAGUACGGUCGCAAGACUAAAACUCAAAUGAAUUGACGGGGGCCCGCACAAGCGGUGGAGCAUGUGGUUUAAUUCGAUGCAACGCGAAGAACCUUACCUGGCCUUGACAUACUAAGAACUUUCCAGAGAUGGAUUGGUGCCUUCGGGAACUUAGAUACAGGUGCUGCAUGGCUGUCGUCAGCUCGUGUCGUGAGAUGUUGGGUUAAGUCCCGCAACGAGCGCAACCCUUUUCCUUAUUUGCCAUCGGGUAAUGCCGGGAACUUUAAGGAUACUGCCAGUGACAAACUGGAGGAAGGCGGGGACGACGUCAAGUCAUCAUGGCCCUUACGGCCAGGGCUACACACGUGCUACAAUGGUCGGUACAAAGGGUUAGUACCUCGCGAGAGGACGGUAAUCUCAAAAAGCCGAUCGUAGUCCGGAUCGCAGU
rnacentral:rRNA from 1 species